UCAAGUACCCGGGAGGGAAAGUUGCAAAGUACUUUGAAGAGAGAGUAAAUAGCACGUGAAGCCGGUUGCAGGGAAGUUGUGGAGUCAAGCUUCAUGCUUGAGAAAUUUGUGCAAGUAACUUGUGUGUAUUGUAUGCAUGGUCGGUCAACUGGAAUAAGUUGGGUGCAUUCGUGUACUUCAAGUCAUUCUGGGUAGUGUGUUGGGCCGAUCAUGUACUACUGUUGCUUGUACCCUAUUUCUCGUUGCAUAAAUCAGGGUCUAUAGCCUUGUUUGUUGACGUGCUGCAUGAUCGUCUAACUGUGCUAUGGCUGACUUUGUGUUUGUCUGGUACAGGAUGGCAGGUUGAGGCUUCAGUCCUUGUGAUUGUUAGUCUCUUAUAGUGGUUUUGACCAGCCGAUGUUCAUGCAGUAUCGUGGCUAUAGUUGUUCCGUUGGUACACAGUUCUCAUCAACUGUGUAUCAGUAAGAACCCUGAUUCUGAGGUUGACGUUCCACCCGACCCGUCUUGAAACACGGACCAAGGAGUUUAACAUGUACGCAAGUCAAUGGGCAUAUUAUGAAACCCAAAGGCGCAAUGAAAGUGAAAGGGCUUUCGUGGCUCUUAGGUGUGAUUCUGGCUUGCCCUAACAAGGCGGUUGGACGCAGCACCGGCCCGUCUUUAAAUGUUGUCACAUUGGCCACGGCCAGUGUGCGUCAUUGAGGCGGAGCAAGAGCGUACAUGUUGAGACCCGAAAGAUGGUGAACUAUGCUUGCGUAGGUUGAAGCCAGAGGAAACUCUGGUGGAGGACCGAAGCGGUUUUGACGUGCAAAUCGAUCGUCGACCGCGAGCCUAGGGGCGAAAGAGAAAGAGAACGAAAGAGUAGCUGUAACGUUAUCAAUG
rnacentral:rRNA from 1 species